rnacentral:misc_RNA from 1 species
AACAAGGCGUACCUGCGGACCUGCGGAAGGAUCAUUAACCGUUACAAACAGUGUGUGAUGCGGCCGCCGAGGUGAAUAGCCUCUGGUUGGUAUGGGGUUCGCCCCUUCACGCUCACGCGUCUACCAUCCUUACUUUACGAGCACCUUCUGUUCUCCCUCGGCAAGGGCCUCGCCCUGCCGUUGGAACUACAAAACUCUUUUUUGCAUCUAGCAUUACCUGUUCCGACAAAAACAAUCGUU